CCGUUCACUCAUCUCGUCAAUCGAUGAUUGAAUUUCGAGUGACAGAUCAUCAGUGCGCGAGA
rnacentral:pre_miRNA from 1 species